GACGAACGCUGGCGGCGCGCCUAACACAUGCAAGUCGAACGGAGCUGAGAGAAGCUUGCUUUUCUUAGCUUAGUGGCGAACGGGUGAGUAACGCGUGAGUAACCUGCCUUGGAGUGGGGGACAACAGUUGGAAACGACUGCUAAUACCGCAUAAGCUCACGAUCCGGCAUCGGAUUGAGGGAAAAGGAUUUAUUCGCUUCAGGAUGGACUCGCGUCCAAUUAGCUAGUUGGUGAGGUAACGGCCCACCAAGGCGACGAUUGGUAGCCGGACUGAGAGGUUGAACGGCCACAUUGGGACUGAGACACGGCCCAGACUCCUACGGGAAGCAGCAGUGGGGGAUAGUGCACAAUGGGGGAAACCCUGAUGCAGCGACGCCGCGUGGAGGAAGAAGGUUUUCAGAUUGUAAACUCCUGUCGUUAGGGACGAUAAUGACGGUACCUAACAAGAAAGCACCGGCUAACUACGUG
rnacentral:rRNA from 1 species